GAAGAGGAAAAGCAAAAGAGAUGGAUUAGUUUGGCGGUUCAGGCGCUGUGGAUGUUCUCUUGCUUAAACCCUUGCCAGAGUUUGUUUCCUUUCUUGUUUGAUGCACCGGGAGAGUUUGAAGAGUUUUUGGGUGGUCCCUUGUGGGUUUUACGAUUGCAGACUUGUAGAACAGAAUGGGCGAUCUGGGCAUUGAGGCGUGGAAGCCGCUCCUAGGUUUGUCUACGUCGCUUGAGGGCAAAAGGAGGAGCAAGAAGAAAGUGCUCGAGAAUGAAGUUAAAUAUACUGGAAGAAGGACUUGUAUAAACCAAGUGAUUUGACAGUCCUUUUGGCAAAGGUUGAAGAAUCUGAGGUGAAAUACAAAGGAGUGAAUGCCUCAGAUCUCUGAGGGAUAUUUCCCUUGCACUUGCUGAGAUGCCUGCACGUGGUGAUCUAACAGGUGAUGUCUGUCACUCGGCAGAUGGUUACCAUCUCAAUGUUAAAAAGUAGGAGAUUCUUGAACUCUUGAAAUCAAUCUGGCAAAUUCUAGGAAUCACAAGGACUAUCCAUGGUAUAUGCUAUGCUUGGGUCUUAUUUCAGCAGCCAUUUAUCAUCUUUAUGCUUGUAAAUGAAGGGCGCUUCAGCAGAAGAACUGUUUUACUUACUAGGGCAGAACAGUUAAGAUCACCUCCGUCACCGUCCGCACCUCUAGUUCCUAUUCAUAUAGUGCCAGCACUAUUGUGACAAAUCUUACAAAGUCACAGUCCUUCAUUCACCACCAGUUCAGGAGUUAACAAUAGAUGAUAUUGAGGAUACUGAUAAUGAAUAUGACAAUGCUUGACUUAAUCAACUCAAGGUUGUAAGACGUCAACGAAAUGAUGCUCAACUUGAUAUAUAUAUAUAUAUAUAUAUAUAUAUAUAUAUAUAUAUAUACACAUAUAUGGGGAGAGAGAGAGAGAAAUAGAGAGAGAGAGAGUUGCUGAGUGGUCUAUCCAGUCACAUUUUGUUUACAGUUUUUUAAAAUUAAUUAUAUAGAUGUGUUCUUCAUGUCUAAAACUAUAAAAACCAACACAAAAAUUGUAGUUUUUGGAUAUACAAGAUUAGUUUUAUAAGCUAAAAACUUUAACUGUUGAUUAUUAUACUUCUAUAAAUCUUAGCCACACACUUACAUUGUCAUUUGUAGAUGGAUUUAUAAUGUUUUAUUGACCAAGAUCACAUCCAUAGUUGAUUUUACAAGAAAAAGAUUUAAUCAUAAUUGUGACUAGGCUGUCCAGCUGGUUUCACUCAUUCCUUACACACACACACACACUCUCUCUCUCUCUCUACAAAUGAGAGUUACUUUGUGAUAUUAUCGUGGACUGCUUAGGGAUAGACUUGUGUCUGGGGUUCGUCAUGCAUCGCUGGUCUGAAAGUCUUGUAUUUUUUGUGUACUUGAAAAAGAAAAAGGAAUUUCUGUUCGCAAAAUUGUGCCACUCUUGCCAGGAUGUACGAGUUCUAGAUGGUGGUCCAUCGCGAAUCUUUUUCCAAGGUGAUAGGCUUUCCAAAAAGAUCUUGAAAUGCUAAAGGUAAUCUUUUUUAGCAUUAAUUAUUUCCUCUGGAGCAUUGGAGAAUUUGAUGGUUUAUAUAUGGUUACUAAUCCAACUGGGGACAUAUGCAAUGAAGAAUGGCUAGUGGGGUUUUGAGUCUCGAGUUGUGCCUCAGCUGUCUUAGGCCUCAACAAUAAACCUGAGUUAUCUGGUUCUGAUUGAGUUAACUGAAUUCAAUCUUGUCACGUCUUCUUCUAGCGCACAAACAAGUUCACCUUUGUACAAAAUGGUUGGUUGUACGUCUAUGCAACUUUUUCCUACUGUGUGGUACAUCAACUUGGAAAUGAGUAGUACCUUGCAGAUUUUCUAGUAGUUAUAGAACUCAAUUUCAUUUCCCAAGUUUUAACCUGAAGUUGGAACUGUUUUUCUUUGCUUAUGGGCUUGAGGACUCCCAAUCCAUUUGGAAAUCAACCUGUUAUUACUACUAAAGAUAAUAUGUGAGGAGCUAUAAUCAGACAUUGCGUCGAAGUUCAUCAAAACUUGACUAUUAGAUGUUUUCUUUUGCAUGGGCUGUUCAACCUAUGUUGGGCAAUUGUCAACUCAAAGUUACGGUGUUCCUUUGAUUUGAUGAUUUUUUCUGUUGUUCUAGGGCUGGAUAAUUCAUGUGGGUUCUUACUAUGGUAUGGUGCUUUGUUUGAAAGCAUGGGCUUUUUACUAGUUUUAUCAGAGCCAUCUGCCUAAAUUGAAAUACUUAUUUAGUAAUAUUAGGUUCCUCCGAUCAAGUUUACAUGGCUUUGUUUGUCAAAUCAUGUUGGUCCGAAAUCUCAUUUCACUUUGG